rnacentral:rRNA from 1 species
GACGAACGCUGGCGGCGUGCUUAACACAUGCAAGUCGAACGGAAAGGCCUGCUUUCCCUUGUGGAUUGCGGGUACUCGAGUGGCGAACGGGUGAGUAACACGUGAGUGAUCUGCCCCCAACUUGGGUAUAAGCCUGGGAAACUGGGUCUAAUUCCCGAUAGGACUGCAGGGUGGUGCCUGUGGUGGAAAACGAUUUUCUAGUGGUUGGGGAUGAGCUCGCGGCCUAUCAGCUUGUUGGUGGGGUAAUGGCCUACCAAGGCGGCGACGGGUAGCCGGCCUGAGAGGGUGGACGGCCACAUUGGGACUGAGAUACGGCCCAGACUCCUACGGGAGGCAGCAGUAGGGAAUAUUGCACAAUGGGCGGAAGCCUGAUGCAGCGACGCCGCGUGGGGGAUGACGGCCUUCGGGUUGUAAACUCCUUUCGACCGCGAGGAAGCCACCUGGUUGGAAGGGUGGUGACGGUAGUGGUAGAAGAAGCACCGGCUAACUACGUG